ensembl:rRNA 5S_rRNA 5S ribosomal RNA
UUCUAUGGCCAUACCACCCCGAAUGUGCCUGAUCUUGGAAGCUAAGCAGGGUAGGGCCUGGUUAGUACUCGGGUGGAAGAAAUGAUAGUUAAAUUGCCAUGGGAA